AGCCCCUUAACCUAGCGGCAGGGUACCUGGUUUUGACCCAGGGUGCGGGAGUUCGAAUCUCUCAGGGGCCGCCA
rnacentral:tRNA from 1 species